GAAUAACCUCAGGGAGAUCUACAACCAAAAGAAACUUGUCAAAAGACUCUGAUGAACUCAGGACACUGACUGCUUGCCUUGGACCUUUUUUCAUUGGGCAACUGUUGAUCUUUGAACCCACUGACAUGCUGGAAGAGAGUUAUGGAAGAAUAGAAGAAAGAAAUCUUAUGAUGGAGAAAGAUCUUUGAAACCAGGCAAGAUGCUAACAGCAAGUCCAGCAGAAAUUUGUAUGUCCAGAGACUGAGCUUUCAGAUUUACAAGAUUGAGGAAGGACUAACAAUCAAGGCAUUGUUUUCUCCAGCCUCAGUUUUAAUCCACAGAAAACCUCCGCUGUAUCCACAGCUCAGUGAUCUUCAUUUUCUUGAGAACUGCAUUUAGCCAGGUACUACAUCUACUUCAACAGCUUUCAUUUUCCUCCUAGAUGCCUUGUAAAAUCUAGAAGAAAGCUUUCCAAUAUCUUAAACCUCCAAAUUAUCCUUGACAUGAACAAUGGUCCAUUUGUCUCCAUCAGACCCCUAAAUAUUAAUGAGAAUCACCCCUCUGGAGAUCCAAGCACUUCAGUUCCACAGCAGUGAUCCACAACCUAAGAUGUUUCUCUCCUUAUUCCUAACAAGGAAAUAAAAAAGCAUUAAAAUUUUCUUAUUACCAAAAGGAGGUUCAUCAUACAGUAAAAAAACAAAGCAAAGAGAUGGACCUUGGCCAGGAUGGAACUUGCACUCUGCUUGAUGCAGCAACCUGCUGACCUGUUUACUUCAUCUCAGAAACAAUUAAUCAGCUGGAUACGCAGGAUGCCCUGAAAAAACUGAUUAGAGGUUCUGGAAACAACUGUGAUUAUUUUUCUGAGGAAAAUGAAUCAAUAAGCUGGAGGAAACCAUCGUGUAGGACAAAAAGGUCUUGAGAGGAGUGAUGAUCUUCCUGUUGACUUUUGUGUGGGAAACAGACACAAAGUGAAAGAUCCUGAAUAUAGACAUGAAGUUGGAUUAAGAACCUAAAAAACAGCACAAGAUGAGAGAACCCCAUCCAAAAGCCAAAGCAGGGUUAUAGACUAUUUCUAUGUCAACAGGUACUGUCAAGCCCAAUGAAGUCCCAGGUUUGCAGGCAACCUCAAGAGAUGCUGAAAUAUCUGAGCACACUGAUAGUUCUGAAAGUACAUUCUGCAGAGGAAUGGUGAUUUUACAGUGAAGAACACAUUAUGUGACCAUGAUUUCUGCCCUAGAUGGUGCAGGAUAUUCGUGAGACAACUGAAGUUUAAUGGAAUAACGCACAUAAAAAUAUUUUAGUCUGUUAAUGUGAAGCAUAUUCAUGAUGCUCUAAGGAAUUUGAAACAAUUGUUAGAUUUUUCACAUUGAAAAUAUACUUGUUACUGUGUUGUAUAUCCAUUGAAUAUUCUAAUUUUUCACAAACUGCCUUGUCCAUUAUCUAAUUUCUGUAACAAUCUGUCGGUAGAAGUUACAAUAAUACAAAUAUCAGAUCUACUUUGGCUAUAAAAAUAAUUAUUGUCUUAUUUAUUUGUGUUAGAAUUUAAUGCUUUAAGGAUGAAACAUAGGAGCAAUUGCUUUCUAACGUCACUGCAUACCAGUAACAUUCCAAAGUCUUUUACAGCUUAUAAUCCCUACUGAAGCAAUUAGUUUACUAAUAAUACUGAAGCAAUAAGUUACAGUAUCUACCUACAGAAACCAAUAUGAAUACAACUGCUUUAUGAUGUAGAGAAUCAUAACCUAGACAAGCAGAUCAUCUAAGUAGAUUCAGUUCUGAGGGUCAUAGGCAGUAUUUUCGAGAGCAUGCAAGUCCUUUAGGAGCUUCAGGCUGGAAAUAUUUUCUAAAAUUGAAUUCCUGAAUCAUACAGAUGUGUUUAAGUAAAUUUGCUUUAUUAUUCAAGACAUGCAUCCUGACGUAUGUUUUGCCUUCAAAUAUGUUCAAACAAAAUUUAAAUAUCAAUAAACAAUUCAUGGGAUGGAAAAGCGGGGUUUACAUUUUAACCUGCUUAAGGUUCUAGAAAAACUAGUUAGGGAUUUCUUAGCAGUCUCUAAAUAGCAGUAUGUGUUGAUGUCCAUUGAGACCACUCAAGAGUAUUUUGCUAAAGUGUUAUAAUCUAACCUCAGCAAUUUUUCUGUGGAAACAGAGUUUGGACUGGCAUACCCAAAUGUGUUGUUUUAUACAUAAAUCUGAUUUAUGACUGAAAUUGUUCUAACCUACACAUUCUACUGAUGGCUAGUUUGUUCCUCCAGUAAAUUAACCUGUUGAUCUC
rnacentral:lncRNA from 7 species